AAGGCUGAUCUUGUGCAGCGUGUCCUGGUCCAGCUGUCCUACGCCAUUGGAGUGGCCCACCCCUUGUCCAUCUCCAUCUUCCACUAUGGAACCUCCCAGAGGAGCGAGAAGGAGCUGCUGGAGAUCGUGAAGAAGAACUUUGACCUCCGCCCGGGCGUCAUCGUCAGAGAGCUGGACCUGAAGAAGCCCAUCUACCAGCGCACCGCCGCCUAUGGCCACUUUGGCCGCGAGUCCUUCCCCUGGGAAGUUCCCAAAAAGCUUAAAUACUAAAUCUGUAACCCCCCCUCCUUUCCUUGGGCGGUAGGUGUACAUUACAGAGAAACCUACUCAACCCGUCGGAGGGGGAGAUGUACCAAAACCCCUCACUCCUAACCUCACACCCGUUCCCAAAGGUAAUUCCCCUUCAGUGGCGGUCUCCCCAUACAACUCUACCUUCAGUCCCUGUUCUUUGCUGUAUUGUUUUCUUAAUAUCUGUGGAUGGUGGCUGUUUGUUUUUUUUGUUCUGUUUGACUGUGCGCCCUCUUCUCCCCCCAUCUCUCUUGGGCCCUUCCUUCCUUACUUACUUGCUUGAAAGAUCAAGUGACGGCACAAAUGGGGGUCAAAGGUUGCUCUGUGAUGCUAUGCAUUGCUGGCUGAAGCACUAACCCCUCGACUUUGUUUUACCAACUAAGAGAACCAAUGCUUACCAUUUUCCAGGUCCACCACUUUAUGCAUACCAUCGCAAAUGGGAUCAAAACCUCUCGUGAAAUGUCGAAAACCUGUCUUUAGUUGGAUCCAACAAGAAUGUGUUUAAGUUGCAUAGCGCAGGGAUCGGAUCGAGAAAUUUUAAGAGACUUUUUACACACGUACUGUCACCACGGUUCUGUCCCGGUCACCGCAGGCCACGUUGUUUUUAUUUCUGACGUGUUACAGAGAAGUCGGAAGCUGCUACCAACUGUGGUGGUUCUGCGAGGCUGGUGACACAACCGUUCCCCUUCGGUCUCGAUGGUGAUUCCAGAUGAAACCUCCUGGUAGCUGUUAUGUGAUGUUCUACUAGACCAUGGCGGAGGCAAAGCACUCCCUCUCUGCUCGUGGCGACAGCGGGCGUAGCUACAGAGAAGCCCUGCUCCCUCGCCAGCGCAGAAGGGCUGCCUCCGCCUCUUGAAUCG